UAGGUUGGUGUAAACGUAAUUGCGGUUUUUGCCAUUACUUUCAAUGGCAAAAAUCGCAAUUACGUUUGCACCAACCUAA
ensembl:miRNA